UACAGAGGGCGCGAGCGUUGUCCGGAAUCACUGGGCGUAAAGGGCGCGUAGGUGGCCACUAUAAGGCCGCGGUGAAAGCUCAGGGCUCAACUCUGAGUCGGCCGGUGAUACUUCCGUGCUCGAGCACUGUAGAGGCAGGUGGAAUUCCGGGUGUAGCGGUGGAAUGCGUAGAGAUCCGGAAGAACACCGGUGGCGAAGGCGGCCUGCUGGGCAGUAGCUGACGCUGAUGCGCGACAGCGUGGGGAGCAAACAGG
rnacentral:rRNA from 1 species